ensembl:lncRNA
AGACAGACAGACAAACAUUUAGAUGGAUGGACAGACAGACAGAAAUGUGGUAAACAGACAGACAGUUGAAUGGAUGGAUGGAUGGAUGGAUGGAUGGAUGGAUGAUGGACAGAGAGUUGAAUGGAUGGAUGGAUGGACAGACAGACAGGUGAAUAGAUGGAUGGAUGGAUGGAUGGAUGGAUAGAUGGAUGGACAGACAGGUGAAUAGAUGGAUGGAUGGAUGGAGGGAUAGAUGGAUGGACAGACAGGUGAAUAGAUAGAUGGAUGGAUGGACAGACAGGUGAAUAGAUGGAUGGAUGGAUGGAUAGAUGGAUGGACAGACAGGUGAGUAGAUGGAUGGAUGGAUGGACAGACAGGUGAAUAGAUCGAUGGAUGGAUGGAUUUAUAGAUGGAUGGACAGACAGGUGGAUAGAUGGAUGGAUGGAUGGAUAGAUGGAUGGACAGACAGGUGAAUAGAUGGAUGGAUGGAUAGAUAGAUGGAUGGACAGACAGGUGAAUAGAUAGAUGGAUGGAUGGACGGACAGGUGAAUAGAUAGAUGUAUGGAUUUAUAGAUGGAUGGACAGACAGGUGAAUAGAUGGAUGGAUGGAUGGACAGACAGGUGAAUAGAUGGAUGGAUGGAUGGAUGGAUGGAUGA